rnacentral:lncRNA from 1 species
GUUUAUGAUAUUGCAAAGUGUAGAGACAUAUAUAAGCCAAGGAUUGGCGAUUGUAAGAGAUUAAGUGAGUUAGGGGGUUUCCCCUCUCCUUCUCUAAUCUGAAACACUAAUCUUCAGUCUCUUAUUCUCUCAGUCUCUCUAGUCUCUUAAGUCUCUUAAUCUCUCUGUUCUUAAGUCUCUUAUACACUCUCACAAAUCUCUCUUCCUAAAUCACCUAGAACAAGCUCUAAUCAUUCUUCAUUGAAGCUUAUACACAC